ACUAGACCCUCUAACUGCGCCUGCGCAAACGGGAGGCACGGUCCCGGCAUAGGUAGGGACCGGAAGCGAGAGUCCGCGAGGAUAGAGAAGGCAGCGUGCAGCGGGACUCACUUGUCUCUUCUCCGACCAACCAGCAACUGCUUUCCCACUCUGCAGCAGAUGCCUGGGCCAAUGUAGUUUCAUGGACCAUUCCAAGAGGAAGCGUUUCCAUGAUGAACUUAUGGUUGAAGUUCUGGACAAGGCUAACCAGCAGGCCCACUACCAAAGACAGAGGGACUUGUGGCUAGAGGAAGGGCAUGUUGCAAGGCAACAGGACAUGCUUUGGCUGGCUGCACAGCUUGAGGACAAGGUUUCAGUAUGUUCCGUUGUUACUGGUGUUUUGGUGUGGUAAUGGCAGCUGGCCUGCCUGUGUAAGGGGGUGCAAGGGUCCUAUCUGCUGCGCGCCUAUCUGUGAGCCUCUCAGUGAGUGGAACAGGGCAUAUAUAACUUGAUGUUCAAGAAGAAGCACAGACCUUGCUGCAUGAGGGGGAGGUUGGACCAGAGCCAGGGGCCAGAAUCAACAAAAGAAGGCUAGACAAAGUCUCAGUCUCACCAUGGGGCACCUAAUAUACCAGACAUGAUCCUGAGAAGCUGGACCACACAAAACUUGAAGUAUAUGAGCCAACUCAGACUGGACCACACCUAAAGGAUAGCAGCUGGAUUAACGCAGAGGAGGGAAGACAGAGCAGGGUGAAGCAUAUCAGAUUCUCAGAGGGGAGGAGCCAGACCAGUUGGUCCAAAACCAAUCUUUUUGUAACGUGAGCGGUUAAGAGCAGAUCUAAGCAAGUGCUGACAUAUCUUAACUGCUUGAGGAAAUACCUGCAUUUUCUGGAGGGCAGGUGUGCUUCUCUGUGUGGGAGGUGAACACCAAGGCCUUUCUGUUAGUGGUAAUUAGGCAUGGCUUAUAUUACAUUAAUGAGACAUACCUGCACGUACUGAAGAAAAAAGAGUUUAUCCGACACCGGGAGUAUGAUUCAUUUCUAUCCAAAUGGUUCACAUAAUUUAUUACCUUCUGUCUUUUCAUUAUGUUUCUUUGUUUUCAGUUAAUUGCCAUUAAAGUAUUUUCGUGUAUUGUUGGAGUAGCUCCUAGGUACUAAAUGGUAGGUGUACAAUUCAUAGCAAAUCAUUUAUUAAUUAAAAUAUGUUUCUUUCUGCUUGCAAAUUGUACACAAACAAUGGACAAUUUCCCCACUGUCCCAAAUUAUUCACCAAGAAAUUCCUACAAAUAAUUAUUUGACUGUAGAUUGUUUGUUGCACGUGUAAUAUUCAAGAUGUUAUUUUCCUCCUUUGCAGGUUAUCUUUACCUGCAGGUGGAGUGGAGUCACAACACGUGCUUCUAUAAUAUGUAUGUGCUUACAUAUAUUUAA